rnacentral:misc_RNA from 1 species
AAAAAGAUCAAUAAGCAAUUCCACCAAAGAAGUUUACUCUUUAUUUUUUCACAUAUUGCUGACAAUACAUUUCAAAUUCCACAACAAUAUAGUGAUCUAAAAAAAGAUCUGUAUUCUACACAUACUACUCUCUGCACUAAUAUUAGACCCCCAAAAAUAGCCCAUGGCAGCUGCUGGAUCCUUAACUGCUGUUUCCUUUUGGAUUAUCUUUUAGUUCAUGUCAGUUUUAUUAGCCUUCUCCUUCCUCUUCAGGAUUGCAAAUUGCCAUAAUCUAGCCAUCCACGAUGUCUCUGAUCUCAUCUCAAUUCACAUGAUUCCCACCUCCUAUUGCUUGCUUAGAACUGCUUGAUCCUUUAGCUUUCUUGGUUCUAAACGAUUUGAUAACAGAAGCCAACAACUUGUCCCCGACUAAUUGUCUCACUCGCUGUACUAGUUCUGGCCUAGAAAUUAUGUUUUCUUUGUGAUCUUUAUGGUACUUGGCAAGUACACCAACAGUAGUAGGAGGCAGGAACUUUGAUAGUGCAGCAAUAAGAGCUGGAAAUGGCAUCCAUGGUGAAGUUGGUGUCCCUCCAGAUUCUGGAACCCUAAAGAACCCCUUCAAAGAAUAAGGAGCCUUGAAACUAACAACAAACUCGGGCAAAAUGUGGGUGUUCAUGUGGUUACUCCACACAAUAUACUUCUUGGGAGAUGAAACAUUGUCUAUGCCCGAAUCAAACUCCUCAGAACUCGGAUGAAACUGCUCAGAACCAGGAUGCACAACUUCCAUGGUACCCAGUAUAACGCGGCACAACAACAAAUGGCGUAGACCAUCAUUACCUUCCCUCAUAUGCUUCACAACUUCAAGAGGAGAAUUAUCCGGGCAAAGAUAGAUGCCAUAUCCAUAUAAUCCAUUAUUGUCAUUAAUCUGGCCACCAAAACCAUUCUUCAUUAUGUUGCAUAUCUCGUCUGCUGUAGCGCCAAACCAAGCAUACUUCACAUUUGCAUUACCACCGCGCUGCUUCUCCAUUGCUUUUACGAAAAUUUGAAACGAUUGCAUCCUGGCUUGCCCCAUGAUGCCAGAAUACGUGUUCCUGUGAACGGCGAAGACUCUGGUAAAUUCGCCGAUCGAACCCAAACCCGAAAGAAACCUUCGAAUGAUGAGAUCAUGCAUCCUGUCUCCCUCAAAAAGUCGAACCAAUUCGGUAAACUGACCAUAACUGGCACUUUCUCCAUUAGAAAUGACUGACUCUAGAUCAUCAUGGACGGAUUCUAAAUCCGAACUAAAACUCUCAGUUUGUUCAUUAGCCUUGUCCGAGCUUAA